GCUGGGUAUGGUGUCGCAGGCCUGUAAUCCCAGUAGCUUGGGAGGCUGAGGCAGGAGGAUGGCGAGUUCAAAGUCAGCCUCAGCAAUGGCGAGGCACUAAGCAACUCAGUGAGACCCUGUCUCUA
rnacentral:sRNA from 1 species